rnacentral:rRNA from 1 species
ACGGGAGGCAGCAGUGAGGAAUAUUGGUCAAUGGGCGAUGGCCUGAACCAGCCAAGUAGCGUGAAGGAUGACUGCCUAUGGGUUGUAAACUUCUUUUAUAAAGGAAUAAGUCGGGUAUGCAUACCCGUUUGCAUGUACUUUAUGAAUAAGGAUCGGCUAACUCCGUGCCAGCAGCCGCGGUAAUACGGAGGAUCCGAGCGUUAUCCGGAUUUAUUGGGUUUAAAGGGAGCGUAGAUGGAUGUUUAAGUCAGUUGUGAAAGUUUGCGGCUCAACCGUAAAAUUGCAGUUGAUACUGGAUGUCUUGAGUGCAGUUGA